GGGCUUGUAGCUCAGUUGGCUAGAGCGCCAAACUGAUAAUUUGGAGGUCCCAGGUUCGAGUCCUGGCAAGCCCA
rfam:Microgenomates (Woesebacteria) bacterium GW2011_GWB1_43_14 TV74_C0002, whole genome shotgun sequence.